CGACGCUGCCAGCUGAUCGGAGACUGGAGCCGGUGUGUGCUGGGCGCUGGGAAGAGACAGCGCCGCCGGCCGUGGGGAGCGGACGCAGUGAUUUGCUCCCUAACCCUCAGCAACCCCCACACCCAGCACCAGGUGGGUGUGAUCUGGGGACCCGGUUACAUGGGGGGGGGAGUAGUGGUAACGGGGUAAUGGGGUAAAGUGGGGUCCUGGCGGCCACACCCUGCCCUUCCGGGGGAGGGAAGAGGGGGUGGCGGAGGCAGCGGCGCUCGAGGGGAGAUGGACCUGAACUGGGUGGAAUAGUGUGUCAUGAGGUUUAAAGAAAGAGUCCGAGACAAGAGCCGUGGCGGAAGGUCUAAAAAGAAAAAAAAAAAAGGGAGUAGCUGCGGGCAAGAUGAGGGGCUAGAGGGCCGGGGUCGACUAAGCCAGGCGCCCUCUGAUCUGAGGAUCCGGAGUCGACCGUCUAGCAUGGGGAGUAUCUGGACUAGCGAGUAGCGGGGAGGUGCUUUGCUUCUACCGGCGCUCACUGGGUCAGGGCCAGUUCAGUUCCCUGGCAGGGAAGGGGUCCCUGGGCGGGCCGGUCCCUCCUCUCAUUCCCUCCGGGGGAUGUUAUGUAAGGGGGGAGGGGAGAAGAGUAGGGGGCGGCGACGGUGCGGGGGCCUUAUGCAACCCAAAGGUUAGGGUUUCACGCGGUUGGGCGGAGGGUGGGAGGGAGACGGGCAGGAGGAGGGCCUGGAAACUCUAACCCCCCCAGCCCCAACUGCCUGUCUUGGGCGGAUAGAAGGUCACCUUUGCACCUCCCCCCAGGCUGUCCGGGUGUGAGGCCCCUAGCCCAGGCCUGGCCCUGACCGCCUGGGAAGCCGGCUAGCUGGGUGGGGCGCCUGGGUUAGUCAUCACUGGGCUCCCUCUCUCCCCACCUCCCGGCCAACUCUUGGCCCCUCCCCAUGGCCUCUGAGUAGGCUAUCACCCCCACCUCCCUCUGGCCUUAGUUCCAGCCUCCAACUCAUUUGGCCUGUCAUCUUGGCUGUCAGACUGGGCUAGAAGCUGUCUGAGUGCCAGAGGGUUGAUGGAGCAGCUGGUCAGAGGGUCAGUGCCCUGGGCCCACCCCUCCCUGAAGCCAAGGGCACCUGCUUGGCACAGACUCUCAGCAGCCCUGAAUUCUGUGGGCAGAACAGAGCCAUUUCAUACAGAGGAGUUGGACAGAGUUGGAUGGUCACCUAAGAGAAGGAAGAUACCAUAAAGUUCAUGCCUCUCAAGAGGUUUUUGGAAUUUGAAAACCCCCACCCCCACCCUAAUCUUUCCACUCUCUUAGUAUAGAAAUCCCAAAGCAAAAUCGCCUUGGCCUCUCAGUCUGGCAUGGGCCAUGCCCUUGGACAGAGUGUCACUGCAGACCCGCCCUCCCCAGCUCACAGUCCCCAACCUGCCACGCCCCCAGCCCCCUCCCUGGGCCAUGCUGCAGGGCCCGGCUUUUCCUGCUGAUUCAUGCGUUGGAACUGUGGGGGCGGGGCUUGGAACUUGGAACAAAGUUCAGACAUGGAGGGGCCGGCAGACAGCCUGGAAUUCAUACCAGAUGUACCCGGAAUGUGCAAGCGGAAUGCCUGGCAUCUGAGAGUCCUGAGGAAGCUGCCCAGCCACCCUGCCCAUACUUCCCUCCCCUCCAGGCUUAGGUCCACUGUCCUCUCCCUUACAGUCUGGGAGCCUCUGCUGACCUUCUUCCAAACACUAGAUCUCUUCCCUUCCUCACUCUUCCCCAGUCUAGGCCCCCCAAACUCUCUUCCAGCUGAAUUCUCUAGGAAUAAGUCAGUUGGGUUGAUCACUGAACUCACAUUUCUGGACCUGAGGUACAACUUCUCACCUGGUAUCUGAGUGGCUGAUGGGGUGUGUCCUGGGUCCUAGGCCCUGCCCUCUCUGAAUGCUGGAGAGGCUGAAGUGCCCAGUGGAUUGCUAAGAGUUUCUGUAGCUCUGGUCUGUAAAGAGGAGCAAAGGAAGUCUCUUUGUAGCUAUCUGUCACUGAAGUUUAGAGCUCCUUCAGUCCCAGGUCCCAGCCAUGAACCCCCUCAUUAGAAGGCUGAAGGUCUGCUGGAGCUGGGUUUUGAUGGCCAGUGGGAUGGUGUCCCUGUGACACAGCCCUGCUUAGAGCUUUCCCAUUUUUCUUCCCUUUCCUUAUAGGAGCUUGUGCCUCCCACAUCCUCACCUGGCUGAGCCGCAGUAGUUCUUCAGUGGCAAGCUUUAUGUCCUGACCCAGCUAAAGCUGCCAGUUGAAGAACUGUUGCCCUCUGCCCCUGGCUUCAAGGAGGAAGAGGAGAAGGAUCUGCUUUCUCUAUCAUCUGGAAGGUGACAGAACUGGGGCUGGGAAGAUCUUAACUGCAGGGGUGAUAAUAGCUUUGGGGAGGAAAGAAAACCCUACUCAGAGAACCUUCACCCAGAUUGUCCCAGCAAAGGAGCAGCUUUAGAUAGAGAUGCUGGCUGAAUUGGGGAAUAAGUGGCUCAAACUCUCCAAGGUUAGUUGGUCUUUGUGUGGCAAUGGGAAGAAAUGGAGAGAAGGAAACUCUGUACACCUGGACCCAGAUUUCCUCCUUCACCUACUUUCCUUAUCUCCCAAUCUUCCCUACUGGCCUUUCCAAAAGUGAGUUUACUCUUUAGGGAAAGGUGAUAGUAAAACUCUGACCUCUAUAAGUCAUCCCUCUGCUCUUUUCCCUGUGUUUUCUUAGACUGGUCUAGAUUCUAGAUUUAGGGAUACUUACCUCUUUGGGACACCUGUUUCUCCACCUGGAGAUGGGGAAUCCCACAGAUGAGUACGUAGGAGGGCAUUAGAAACCCACCUGUGCUGACUCAGCCUGGGCUCUCCUUCCCCUGUGGGUGGGAACAAAACAGCUUUUCACAUAAAUUCUCCCUCCCCCAUUCCUGAUUACAAUCCCAGGUGUUGGGGGGUGGGGAGGUAGAUCGAGGGGCUUAGUAAGAGCUCAGUCUUUAUAUUUGACUUCCCACCAUGCAAGCUUGACCUAAGGCUUCCCCUGCCACCCAACAGCCAAUGGGGUUCUACUGCUGCUUCUCUCACUUUGCUUUCCAGGGUAGUGACUGACAGACACUAAGCUCCGGCUUGUACAACCGGGGAAGAUGGGUUGUGGGAUGUGACCCCCUUUUGGAUGUCAGACAGUGUAAACCCACCACCUCUAGCUCCUCGUUCAUUCUCACUUGUGGGCUUGGGCUGGGGUUCUGGUGUGAUUCAGCCUUGGACCAGUCUCCCUGACAGAACUACCCAAGCGGUAGUUCUGGGGUUACAAGAAGCUGUUUGAUCUGUUUGGUGAGAGGAGAUGUGCAGGGGGGCUCGAUCCUAUUCUCCAUUUAUGAGAAACUGAAAGUCACAGGGGAGAGAAGAUCAUUGAACCCAGCUCCUCUGUAGCCUUAACGGAGGGGCAGGAUGUGUAGGACUGUGGUAAAGGAGGGUGGGUAGACUGAGUCUACUCAGAGGCUGCAACAAAGAUUGCUCUGUCCCUGGACAUUGCUUCCACCCUUUCUUCCCCUCCUCACUUCACUGGCCACAGUGUGUCCAUCCAGCUCUGAGCAUAUAGCUCUGCCAUGUUCACCCAUCACAGAGCAGAGGUGAGGAAGGGCAGCCUGAAAACACAGAGGCAGGCAGAAGACCAGUGAAUGACCAGACCUGGAGAGCACUGGGCUGGAUCUGGGCAGCCAGCAGUGGGGCCCAUCAAGGACUGGAGUUCCCCAGGAGGAGGGAGAACAGCCAGCCUCCACCAAGGACAAGCUUCCAGCCAUCUCCUACUUCACUCACCAUUGUUCUUCAGUCCCAUGGUUUCACCUGCCUUCUUCCAGCUCUUUCCCAGCCUGUGAUUUUUAUAUAAGCAGCCUCAAGGAGCAUGAGGCAGCUGUGAAAGGACAUACACAGGAAAUUCAUAAAAGGAAUUCAAAUGUAUAAGAUCAUGAAAAAAAUGGUUUUAUAACAAUAAUUAAGGAGGGAAAAAAUCACUGAAAGCAUUUUCCCCUUAGCAUAAUAAAUAAGAUGCAAUAUUGGCCAAAGAACUCUUAUACAUUGCAUGUGGGAGUAUAAAUUGGUAUAGUCUUUCUGGAUGGAAGUUUGAUAAUAUGUAUUAAACACCCUAAAAAGUUUUAUGUCUUUUAAACCAGUAAUUCGACAUUUGGGACUCUCUUAAGAAAAUAAUUAAAGAUUUAGUUAUAAAAUGUUCGUUCAUUCCAGGCCUAAAGAAAAAUGGAAAGCAACUGUUUGGGAAUUCAUUCCUUUUCUGCUGUAAUGAAAAUUUGCAAUAGGGGAUUUCUUAAGUAAAUUAUUCUAUAUCUGUCCAGAUGGUGGAGUACUGUGCAACCAUUAAAAGUCAUGUACAAGAACAUUUUGACUGGAAAGAAAAAUGCUCUUUGAAUAUUAAAGAGGUUACAAAAAUAGUGUAUGUGACAGUUUCAUUUUAAAACCAAUUUUGUUGUUAAAAUAUGGUUGUAGGGGUGGGGAUGUAGCUCAGUGGUAGAAUAUUUGCCUAGUGUGCACAAGGCUCUGUAUUUGAUACCCAAUACCACACACACCCACCCACACACAAUUUUGUUGUAAUGGGUGUAUGCUUGUAUAUAUAGAAAACAGACUGAAGAUAUACUCAGAUGUUAAUAAUGGUUAACUUGAAUGUUGGAAUAAAUGUAAUUUUCAUCUUUGGUUUUUCUGUAAUUUCCAAAUUUUCUACAUGUAUAUUGCUUCCGUAUAAUAAAAAAAAUGUAAAAAAAUCAC
rnacentral:lncRNA from 1 species